rnacentral:rRNA from 1 species
ACAACUCAUCAACCCUGUGAACAUACCUAAAACGUUGCUUCGGCGGGAACAGACGGCCCUGUAACAACGGGCCGCCCCCGCCAGAGGACCCCUAACUCUGUUUUUAUAAUGUUUUUCUGAGUAAACAAGCAAAUAAAUUAAAACUUUCAACAACGGAUCUCUUGGCUCUGGCAUCGAUGAAGAACGCAGCGAAAUGCGAUAAGUAAUGUGAAUUGCAGAAUUCAGUGAAUCAUCGAAUCUUUGAACGCACAUUGCGCCCGCCAGUAUUCUGGCGGGCAUGCCUGUUCGAGCGUCAUUACAACCCUCAGGCCCCCGGGCCUGGCGUUGGGGAUCGGCGGAAGCCCCCUAUGGGCACACGCCGUCCCUCAAAUACAGUGGCGGUCCCGCCGCAGCUUCCAUUGCGUAGUAGCUAACACCUCGCAACUGGAGAGCGGCGCGGCCAUGCCGUAAAACACCCAACUUCUGAAUGUUGACCUCGAAUCAGGUAGGAAUACCCGCUGAACUUAAGCAUAUCAA